GCCCUCAUCGUCUAGAGGCCUAGGACGCAGCCCUUUCAAGGCUGAGAUCGCCGGUUCGAAUCCGGCUGGGGGCA
rnacentral:tRNA from 1 species